UACGUAGGGGGCAAGCGUUGUCCGGAAUCAUUGGGCGUAAAGAGCUCGUAGGCGGCUUGGCAAGUCGGGUGUGAAACCUCCAGGCUCAACCUGGAGACGCCACCCGAUACUGCCAUGGCUAGAGUCCGGUAGGGGACCACGGAAUUCCUGGUGUAGCGGUGAAAUGCGCAGAUAUCAGGAGGAACACCGGUGGCGAAGGCGGUGGUCUGGGCCGGAACUGACGCUGAGGAGCGAAAGCGUGGGGAGCGAACAGG
rnacentral:rRNA from 1 species